CAAUUCUGUCUGGCAAUUCUGCGC
rnacentral:siRNA from 1 species